UUUUAGCUACAUUAUUGGCAUUUUAUUAUUUAAACAAAGUAGUUGACCAUUAAAAGGGUUCAAUUUAAUGUUCUAAGUGACAUAAUAAUCUUUCAACUGAAUAUACUGUCAUAUUGAAUGAGCUGCUAAAGGGCCUUGUUUCCUGAUAUAGGCUACUUCACCUGAGCUGUCAGCUUCCGAUUUUAUGUAAUUGCUAUUUUUGGAAUUUUAAAGAUGUCCGCUACCCUGUGUUGAGAAAAAUUUAAAACCUUUCAUGGUAAAAUAAGCUUCCUGGAUGUGGCACCUGUUACUGUCCCUCAUUUACUUUAAGCAUGAUCAACAAUUGUUGAUGGAUUCUGCUCAUCAUUUCUAAGAAGCACUGCCAAAAGAAAAUUUUCCAAACUUGUAAAUAAAACCUUUUCAGUUUUUUUUAAGCAGGAGAGCUGGCAUAUGGCAAUCACGAAACAAGUCUUGGAUUAAAAAUAUAUAGCCUAUUUUAGAAGAAACUUGAUUUGUAUAUAGAGGAUUUAAAAUUCAGAUGUUCAUCUUCGCUCUCAUUGUUCAGCCUUUUAAUUCUGCUACUAGUUAAUUUAUAGUACCUUUAUUCUUUUAGUGUAUCUGGAAUGACAAUUUAUCAUUAAUGGAAAAUUAAUAAAGAUGGUGGUUAAAUUUGAAGUACUCAGUUUUGUUUACCUUGAUGUCAGCUUUCCUGUGGCAGUUGAUGAGGUUCAAUAUGCUUCAGCUCUUGAAGAACUUAAGGUCCCGAAACCAAGGCAAGGAGUUUACUGACUCUGAUAUUUUAAAGUGGGCGAACAGAAAAGUGAAAAGCACGGGCAGAGCUUCUCAAAUGGAGAGCUUUAAGGUUAAAAAUUGUCAAAUUUUACUUCUUUCAUGACCAUAUAUAUACUUAUGACGGACUGUUUUAUUUCCAUAAAUAUUUUCAGGAUAAAAACCUUUCAAAUGGAUUAUUCUUUCUUGAGCUUCUCAGUGCAGUAGAACCAAGAGUUGUGAACUGGAAUCUUGUUACCAAGGGUGAAAGUGGUAUGAUUAUGUUACUCAGAAAUUCUUUUAAAAGCAAUAAGCUUCUGUUCAGGUGGACUAAACAUUUUUUGAGGGAGAAAAUAAAUUUAACACUAUUAUAUUAAGGGCUACUUGGAAGGGAUUAAACAAACCCCUGCAAUAUUAUGGACUAAUUGUGAUGAGGCUAUCGUUUAAUUGUAUAGCCAACUUUUGUUUUUCCUUUUUCUCUUUUUCUCUUUUUCUGUAGAGGUAUCUUGGCACACCUGAUGAACUACCUCGGAUACUUGAAGUCUCCUGACUCGCAAAGGACAAAGCAAUUACUGGGAUAAAUUCCGCAGGAGCAUCCCAAGGGGGAUGCAUUGCCUUCUUUGUUCCGUUCACUGUCCAUGUUUAGGGUUUAGAAGCUCCAUUGAGGUCCUACCUAGGGUUUCAGCAAUUAGAUUAACAAAAAUAAAGAUUUAGAAUUGAGGGGGAGAUUGGGCAAAAGAUAGGAGUAGGNNNNNNNNNNNNNNNNNNNNNNNNNNNNNNNNNNNNNNNNNNNNNNNNNNNNNNNNNNNNNNNNNNNNNNNNNNNNNNNNNNNNNNNNNNNNNNNNNNNNGGGGGGGGAUGCGAUCAAAUAGACUCCAACUGAGAGCUCUCAAAUCUGUUUUCUCAAAAUGUUCCCAUCAACCUGAAUAGGGUCUGCAAAAUUGACUUAUGGAUACAGGAUCUCUGUCACUGGCUAUAGAAUUUGGAAGUCCAUGAAAUCUGUGUAUCUUCUCAAACAAAAACUUGAGUCCUUGCUGAAAUAGGAUGAGUUAAAGGUAUAAAAUGAGCAUAUCUACUUAAUUUGUUAGUAACUACCCAAAUGAUCUCAAAUCCUCUAGAAUUUGGAAGACUACAAAUAAAAUCCAUGGCUAUGUCCCUCCAAAUUGCUUUAGGAAUGAAGAGGUAGCGACAAUCAUGGAACCUUAGUGGUUUCAUGCUUUGUGGCUUGGCAAAUGGAACACUCAGCUACGUAAAUUGUGAAUUUGUUUUCAUUCCAACCCGAUUGGAAUACUAUUCACUUUUCUUCAAUGCAGCCCUGGCUCCGGAGUGUCCUAUCCCUUUCUCAUGUAAUUAUUCAAAUAUCUGCUUAUUUAUGUCCCCCGUGAUGCCAAUUACCUAUCUGCCUCUGUAUUUAAGCAUCCCUUGACUUAAUUCAAAUUCAUUAGACCCCUAGUAAGUAUUCACGAGUUGCUGUUCAUAGUUCUUACUCUAUCUAAUUCGACAUCUUCCUCAAAGCUCACAAUGAUUUGUUCCAUAUGCAAUGAAAUUUGUUGCAGUUUUAGUUUAGGUUGAGUCACUAGAGCAUAUUUCAGCCCCCUGCAGGAGUAACUUCUUUCCCUUUUUUCAAAUUCUAUUUGUUAGAUUUUGGUAAUUCAAUAAACUGAUCUUAGUGCCUUAAGCCAGUUGAUUCUUAAGAUGACAUCCUAUGUUUUUAAAGGUAGCACCCACCUUAGUUUCAAACGAAAUUCCAUGCCAUUUGAAGUGCGGACAAUCGGAAUAACUCUAUGAGUCUUUCUCAUCAGGCAAUGUUAAGAAAUAGGUCCUUCAAGUUGGGUUUGGCUUCCGAACUUUUUAAUCGUUUCUUCACUUAUAAAACUAGCGGUACUGAUGGGGACGACAAGUCCAGUGCCGAAAAGAAAUUCUUAUUUUAUAAAAAAAUUAUUAUGUUUAAUUUGGAAGAAAUUGAUGCAUUUAAUUAUAUAUUUUAUUUAUUGGUGGGGGAUUUAGGAUAUUAAGACAUGUUAUAAUUAAGUUGGGGUAUUUUAGUAGUUUACUAUUUUUAUUGUUCUCCAAGUAACAUUAGGGCUUUGAGUCUCUAUAAUAGUCUAUAAUAGUGAUGUAAUCCUGACAAGAUUAUUAUUGAAUAUACCAUUGAUUAGUACUUCUAUUUUGUCCUUUUUGAGUUUUUUUAGCAAUUGAAUGAUUGUAGAAGAAUAUAAAGAAGACUGUUCGGAAUAGAAUACUAUAUUUAUUUAUAUAUUAAUGUUCUGUCAUACUCUUUCUUUUGAUUCCUAAUGCAGUAUAAUCUCAUUGCGCCAACUGAUGGAACUACUACUUACUUUUGUUGGUGAUUUGUUAGAUGACAAGAAGAAGCUGAAUGCUACUUAUAUAAUCAGUGUCGCACGGAAGCUUGGGUGCUCAAUAUUCUUGUUGUCAGAGGACAUUAUACAGGUAAGCAUUGAACUGUAACUAAGGGGGUGUUUGAUAAAAAUUGAAUCUGAAUGAAAAAAGUUGUUUGAUAAUCGACAUAUCUGAAACAUCUGAAUAACAACUUUUUAUUAUUUUACCCCUCUAAAAAAAUUCAAAAAAUUAUUUUAAAUUUAUUUCAUAUUAAUAUAAUAGUUAAUAUUGUAAAAAAAAAAAUCAUUCAGCCGCUCAUUUUGCCCAUUCAGCCAGAAAAAUGGGACUAAACCAUUCAACCCAAAUCGUCUGAAUGGCUGUUUGGUUCAGCCAUUCAGACGAUUUUUUCAAAAAACAAACGCACUGAAUGGCUGAAUCGGUCCGCCAUUCAACAAAAAACAAACAACCCCUAUAUCCUACCAACCCCAGUUUGCACGUCCGGAAGGGACCCUCUAAUUCUAUCAGUCAGAAGUUUAUGUUAAGUACUGCUUGUGUCUACGAAAACUAUUAAACCCCGAAAAAUGGUUAUGCAGAUAUAUAAAUGAAUAUAAGAAUCUGUAACAAAUAUAGUCUAAAAUAUAUAAAUAAAUGGAGGGUAGAGAUUAGACUAAAAUGGAUGGUUAGGAUUGAUUAUUCAAUGAAGUCUAUAUAAUGUUAGCUAUGUACUGAAAAUUAGGUAAUCAAUCCUAACCAUCCAUUUUAGUCUAAUCUCUACCCUCCAUUUAUUUAUAUAUUUUAGACUAUAUUUGUUACAGAAUGCAUGAUAUUAUAUUGUAAAAUUAUCUCUGUGUUUAAUGCUUAUAUCAGAUGCUUAAGUACAAAUUGUUAAAUGAUUAAAGGCCUGCAGUUGCAGUUAGCUAAACAACAGACGCCAAGUAAUGAUUGUGAUUUAUCGACUGUGAACUAUUAAAAGAGUUAAAAAUUUGAUACACUGAGACGGUGUAUACACUAGCAGUGUUAGGAUGAUGACACGUCAAUGAAAUAAGGAUAAUGAUGUCCAACAUAACUACACAAGUAGGUGCCAUAAUCUGCGUAUACACUGACACUGCGAAACUUUGAUUCACAUUAAAAUUCAUUGGCAUUUUUUUUGUGAAAUUAAAGAAAGUAUGGUGGCAAUUAAUAUGACCGUAUGAUGUUAUGUCAGGUAAACCAAAAGAUGAUCCUUAUGCUUACCGCUAGCAUCAUGUAUUGGAGCCUUCAGCAACGGGCAGACGAGUCCGAGUCAUCU
rnacentral:lncRNA from 1 species